rnacentral:rRNA from 1 species
GACGAACGCUGGCGGCGUGCUUAACACAUGCAAGUCGAACGGAAAGGCCCUGCUUGCAGGGUACUCGAGUGGCGAACGGGUGAGUAACACGUGGGUGAUCUGCCCUGCACUUCGGGAUAAGCCUGGGGAAACUGGGCCAAUUACCGGUAAGGAGCCUUUUUUAUUGUGUUGGUGGGAAAGUUUUUUCGGUGUAGGUUGAGCUCGCGGCCUAUCAGCUUGUUGGUGGGGUAAUGGCCUACCAAGGCGGCGACGGGUAGCCGGCCUGAGAGGGUGGACGGCCACAUUGGGACUGAGAUACGGCCCAGACUCCUACGGGAGGCAGCAGUGGGGAAUAUUGCACAAUGGGCGCAAGCCUGAUGCAGCGACGCCGCGUGGGGGAUGACGGCCUUCGGGUUGUAAACUCCUUUCGCUAGGGACGAAGCUUUUUGUGACGGUACCUAGAGAAGAAGCACCGGCUAACUACGUG